GACGAACGCUGGCGGCGUGCUUAACACAUGCAAGUCGAACGGAAAGGCCCUGCUUUUGUGGGGUGCUCGAGUGGCGAACGGGUGAGUAACACGUGAGUAACCUGCCCUUGACUUUGGGAUAACUUCAGGAAACUGGGGCUAAUACCGGAUAGGAGCUCCUGCUGCAUGGUGGGGGUUGGAAAGUUUCGGCGGUUGGGGAUGUACUCGCGGCUUAUCAGCUUGUUGGUGGGGUAGUGGCUUACCAAGGCUUUGACGGGUAGCCGGCCUGAGAGGGUGAACGGCCACAUUGGGACUGAGAUACGGCCCAGAAUCCUACGGGAGGCAGCAGUGGGGAAUAUUGCACAAUGGGAGGAAGCCUGAUGAAGCAACGCCGCGGGCGGGAUGACGGCCUUCGGGUUGUAAACCGCUUUCGCAUGUGACGAAGAGUGAGUGACGGUAAUGGGUAAAGAAGCACCGGCUAACUACGUG
rnacentral:rRNA from 1 species